CCUACGGGCGGCAGCAGUGAGGAAUAUUGGUCAAUGGGCGAGAGCCUGAACCAGCCAAGUAGCGUGAAGGAUGACUGCCCUAUGGUUUGUAAACUUCUUUUAUAUGGGAAUAAAGUGAGGAACGUGUUCCUUUUUGUAUGUACUUUAUGAAUAAGGAUCGGCUAACUCCGUGCCAGCAGCCGCGGUAAUACGGAGGAUGCGAGCGUUAUCCGGAUUUAUUGGGUUUAAAGGGAGCGUAGGUGGGUUGUUAAGUCAGUGGUGAAAGUUUGGGGCUCAACCAUAAAAUUGCAGUUGAGACUGGCUGACUUGAGUACAUUUGAGGUAGGCGGAAUGCGUGGUGUAGCGGUGAAAUGCAUAGAUAUCACGAAGAACUCCGAUUGCGAAGGCAGCUUACUAAACUGCAACUGACACUGAUGCACGAAAGUGUGGGGAUCAAACAGGAUUAGAUACCCGAGUAGUC
rnacentral:rRNA from 1 species